rfam:Picea glauca, whole genome shotgun sequence.
UGUAAUGAUGCUUACAACGUUAAUGCAACAUAUCCCAUCAGAACUCUGCAGCUAAGCGCGAUUGGGCUAGAGUAGUAAUGGCAUGGGUGACCUCUAGGGAAGUCCUAGUAUUUUUACAU